rfam:Roseburia sp. CAG:18 genomic scaffold, scf332
AGAUGCCUGAAAUGUACGACAACUCUUGCUAUUUAGAACCUACAUUUACUUUAAACGGGAUUCCUAUAUGAUUUUUCUGGAUGUCAGGCCGCCACAGUCAGCGGAAGACAGAAGGGAAACUGCGGUCGCCCACCUAGCAUUGGCUAGGAGUCUAAAUUGCAGGAACCGGCAUUUUGGGUAACUU